UACGUAGGGGGCUAGCGUUGUCCGGAUUUAUUGGGCGUAAAGGAGCGUGUAGGCGGCCAGGUAGGUCUGGUGUGAAAACUCGAGGCUUGAACCUCGAGAUGUCAUCGGAAACCAAUUUGGCUAGAGUCCGGAAGAGGAGAGUGGAAUUCCUGGUGUAGCGGUGAAAUGCGCAGAUAUCAGGAGGAACACCAGUAGCGAAGGCAGCUCGCUGGGACGGUACCUGACGCUGAGGCGACGAAAGCGUGGGGAGCAAACAGG
rnacentral:rRNA from 1 species